GCGUGCGAGGCGACUGACAGCUGUGUCGCUCCGGUCUGUAAAACCGGACCCAUGUGGUGAACACCGGAGGUGCAACUCCUCCCGCACGCACCA
rnacentral:tRNA from 1 species